GUGACCGCUCAGCAGGUCACCAUGGGCAGAUUCCCAACUGGGAGCACUGGGAGAGAUGGAUUGAUCAGCUCCCCAACUGGGAGCACUGGUUAGCUUGGGUAGCGUCCCAGCUGGGAGCACUGGGAGCACUGGGAGCGAUGGUUGGUUUGAUCAGCUCCCCAACUGGGAACACUGGGAGAUUCGGGCAGCUCCCCAGCUGGGAGCACUGGGAGCACUGGGAGUGAUGGAUUGAUCAGUUCCCCAACUGGGAGCACUGGGAGCACUGGUUUGAUCAGUUCCCCAACUGGGAGCACUGGGAGCAAUGGUUUGACCAGUUCCCCAACUGGGAGCACUGGUUGUGUUGAUCAGCUCCCCAACUGGGAGCCUUGGGCCAAUGGAUUGUCCCAGUUCCCAAACUGGGAGCACUGGGAGCAAUGGGUGUCUUCAUCAAUCACCCAACUGGGAGCAGCAGUACCUUGAUCAGCUCCCCCAACUGGGAGCACUGGGAGUGACCAUCGCCCUGACUGGCUCCCCAACUGGGAGCACUGGGAGCAGUGGGCAUCUUGAUCAACUGCCCAACUGGGAACACUGGGAGGACUGGGAGGACUGGGCACCUCGAUCCAGUCCCCAACUGGGAGCACUGGUUGUCCUGGCCAACCACCCGGCCAGGAAUCCCAGUUACCUUGCUCAGCUCCCCCAACUGGGAGCACUGGGAGCACUGGGCACCUCAAUCCAGUCCCCAACUGGGAGCACUGGGAGCAACGGGUGUCCUCAUCAAUCACCAAACUGGGAGCACCAGUACCUUGGUCAGCUCCCCCAACUGGCAGCACUGGGUGCUUGGUUAAACUGGGGAACUGGGCGUACUGGGAGCCACUGGUUCUUCAAUCUGCUCCCCAACUGGGAGCACUGGUUGUGCUGGUCAACCUCCCAACUGGGGGUGAUGGACAAGUUGGCCAACCACCCAACUGGGAGCACUGGGAGCACUGGGAGCACUGAGUGUCUUGCUCAACCACCCAACUGGGAGCACUGGGAGCACUGGGUAUCUUGCUCAACCACCCAACUGGGAGCACUGGGAGCACUGGGCACCUCGAUCCAGUCCCCAACUGGGAGCACUGGGAGCACUGGACAUGCUGUUCAACCACCCCACCGGCAGCACCGACCGCAGGAUCU
rnacentral:lncRNA from 1 species